rnacentral:rRNA from 1 species
AUGACUAGGGAUAACCUUAGGAAGAGACACAUCAUCAAACCCCUUGAUUGUGUUUACUGCUUGGAAUAAGAGUCUUGUUCUCACCUAUUUUUUGAAUGUAUAGUUGCUAAACAUAUCUGGGCCCACAUUGAGGAAUAUUUCUCUAGUCAGAUUGGCUCAUCCUUUGAAUCUGUCGCCAGAUUCUGGAUUGCUACCCAAAAGUGCUUAGUUUUAAAUACUAUUAGCUCAGCUGUCCUUUGGUGCCUCUAGAAAUAUAGAAAUGCUAUGACUUUCAGUAACACCUCCUGGAUUUCCAUUCCGCAGGUCUUGAGGUUGAUCGGGAACAUGGUGAGGAACUGGGCGAUUCUCUCCUCCGGAUCGGACAAGGACAAGUUGAUGAGCUUCGUGGAAACCCUAACAAGAUCCCUCCAGAAGCCGUUGGUGAUCACUUGUGGCUGA